rnacentral:tRNA from 1 species
UCUAAUGUGGCAGAAUAGUGCAAUGAAUUUAAGCUUCAUAUAUAAAGAAACUCUUUUAUUAGAA